GAGGAGCCAAGAUAGCAGAAUAGCAUGGAAGUUUUUUGUGCGUCUCGUGUCCACGAAAUACAGCCAGACCGACACUAAGCCAUCCUACACAUCUAGAAAACUGACUGCAGGAUUAACACAACCAUCUGCACAACCUGAACCCCAGAAUUCAGCAGGUACACGGCGUAAAAGAAAGAAGGGGCUGGUC